rnacentral:rRNA from 1 species
UUCUGGCUCAGGAUGAACGCUGGCGGCAUGCCUAAGACAUGCAAGUCGAACGAGACGACCUUAAGAAGACCUUGUGCUUGCACAAAGUUGGAAGAAGAUCAUCGUCUAGUGGCAGACGGGUGAGUAACACGUGGGUAACCUACCUUUAAGCUGGGGAUAACAGUUGGAAACGAUUGCUAAUACCGAAUAAGGUACUUGUACUAAAAGAAGCCUUUAAAGCUUCACUUAAAGAUGGGCCUGCGGCGUAUUAACUAGUUGGUGAGGUAAUGGCUCACCAAGGUAACGAUGCGUAGCCGAACUGAGAGGUUGAACGGCCACACUGGGACUGAGACACGGCCCAGACUCCUACGGGAGACAGCAGUUAGGAAUAUUCGUCAAUGGGGGAAACCCUGAACGAGCAAUGCCGCGUGAGUGAUGAAAGGCCCUAUGGGUUGUAAAGCUCUGUUGUAUGGGAAGAACGGCUAGAUUAGGAAAUGAAUUUAGAGUGACGGUACCAUACCAGAAAGCUCCGGCUAACUACGUGCCAGCAGCCGC